rnacentral:rRNA from 1 species
UAGGGAAUUUUGCGCAAUGGACGAAAGUCUGACGCAGCGACGCCGCGUGAGCGAUGAAGGUCUUCGGAUCGUAAAGCUCUGUUGGAUGGGAAGAACAGUUUUGCAUCUAAUACAUGCGAAACGUGACCGUACCAUUCGAGUAAGCACCGGCCAACUACGUGCCAGCAGCCGCGGUAAUACGUAGGGUGCAAGCGUUGUUCGGAAUUACUGGGUGUAAAGGGAGAGUAGGCGGUUUGAUAAGUUAGAAGUGAAAUGCCCAGGCUUAACUUGGGACCUGCUUUUAAUACUGUCAGACUUGAGUAUGGGAGAGGAAGAUAGAAUUCCAGGUGUAGCGGUGGAAUGCGUAGAUAUCUGGAAGAAUACCAGUUGCGUAGGCGGUCUUCUGGCCCAAUACUGACGCUGAGGCUCGAAAGCUAGGGGAGCAAACAGG